rnacentral:misc_RNA from 1 species
AGCAGCCGCGGUAAUUCCAGCUCCAAUAGCGUAUAUUAAAGUUGUUGCAGUUAAAAAGCUCGUAGUUGAAUUUCGGGAUCAGUUGGUCGGUCGUGCCUCGGUACGUACUGGUCAAAUUGAUUCCUACCUUCUGACGAACCACGAUGUCAUUAAUUUGGUGUCGCGGGAAAUCAGGACUGUUACUUUGAAAAAAUUAGAGUGUUUAAAGCAGGCUCGCGCUUGAAUACAUUAGCAUGGAAUAAUGAAAUAGGACGUUUGAUUCUAUUUUGUUGGUUUCUAGGAUCGACGUAAUGAUUAAUAAGGAUAGUUGGGGGCAUUAGUAUUCAAUUGUCAGAGGUGAAAUUCUUGGAUUUAUUGAAGACUAACUACUGCGAAAGCAUUUGCCAAGGAUGUUUUCAUUAAUCAAGAACGAAAGUUAGGGGAUCGAAGACGAUCAGAUACCGUCGUAGUCUUAACCAUAAACUAUGCCGACUAGGGAUCGGAUGAUGUUAAUUUUUUAAUGACUCAUUCGGCGCCUUAC